GUGUAUGUAGCUCAGUGGUAGAGCAUUUGCCUAGCAUGCAGAAGGCCCUGGGUUCAAGCCCCUGCACCACA
rnacentral:tRNA from 1 species